GGGCCAGUGGUGGAAUGGCUACCGCGUCUGCUAAGUAUAUUUGAAGCAUGACUCUGCAGAAGAUCCUUGUUCGACUCAAGGCUGGGUCG